rnacentral:tRNA from 1 species
CAGGGAAUAGUUUAAAAAAAAAAUUUUAAUUUUGGAGAUUAAGGAUAAGAUGUGAUUUUUUCUCUGA